GUGAGGAAUAUUGCGCAAUGGAGGCAACUCUGACGCAGCCAUGCCGCGUGCAGGAAGAAGGCGCUACGCGUUGUAAACUGCUUUUAACCGGGAAGAAACCCCAGGACGUGUCCUGGGUUGACGGUACCGGAGGAAUAAGCACCGGCUAACUUCGUGCCAGCAGCCGCGGUAAUACGAAGGGUGCAAGCGUUAUCCGGAUUCAUUGGGUUUAAAGGGUGCGUAGGCGGAGCGUUAAGUCAGUGGUGAAAUCCUGCAGCUUAACUGUAGACUUGCCAUUGAUACUGGCGCUCUUGAGUGCGCUUGAAGUGGGCGGAAUGUGCCGUGUAGCGGUGGAAUGCUUAGAUAUGGCACAGAACACCAAUUGCGAAGGCAGCUCACUAAGGCGAUACUGACGCUGAGGCACGAAAGCGUGGGGAUCGAACAGGAUUAGAAACCCCAGUAGUCC
rnacentral:rRNA from 1 species